GUCCACGUCCACGAAGUGCCGCAGUGGCAGUGCCACGAUGGUGCGGUGGAAAGUUGGAAAGUCGGAAAGUCAGCGUUGGUGGUGGUACAAGGUGAACUGGCAACUCGACUGCUAGCAACAUUUGUUUGGUCCCGCUAUGGAAUCCAUCGCAGCAUCCGUGUAACAGAUCCAGUACCAGUAAAGACUACCCUACUAGCAUGGAAGAUGUGAAUCCCCGUUGUGGAAAAUUCAUACUUUGUUAACCAACACGCCAUAAAUAUAUAUAUAUAUUAACUAUUUAAUUGUUAUGUAACCAAUGAUGAAUAUCCUUAACGAAUCUAUGCCGUAGUUAAAUGUUGCUGUUGUUUGGGAUCGUAUUGUCAACUGAAUGACGACGUCUUCUUAUCCAAGUUUACUUACGCUCAAAUAUAUAUACAUAUAUGUACUUUAUAUUCUCGUUAAAUUUAACAGCUGUUAUAUGUAUGCCAUGCUAUAUAGACGAUACAAGAAGCACAUAUGAUAAUGUUAUAAAAACUGUGUCCCUAUUCGACACUUACUUAUUAUAAUUAUAUAUAUCAUACAAGAUCUGUACUCGUAAAUCGCAAAUAAAAUAUUCUAAUCCAUGUGUUGAGCAAACGAAAA